GGGUCGGUAGCUCAGUUGGUAGAGCAGAGGAUUGAAAAUCCUCGUGUCAGGAGUUCAACUCUCCUCCUUCCCACCA
rnacentral:tRNA from 1 species